rnacentral:misc_RNA from 1 species
AUCACUUUUCAACACUCGAGAUUCCUGAGGCCUCCAAAACAAGCCAGUGUUUCAGCAGAGCAGAAUGAAAUGAUCUGAUAUGUUGUGUGUAAUCUAUAUUCUGAGGAGCCAGAGGGAACAUUUUUGGCAUAAUUAGUUGUUGUCUAUUUUCUAUGCAAAAAGCAUCUUGAGUUCCUCGAUUCUUGCAGUCCGAACUUCUUGGUCAGUCAAAGCACCAGAAAUCA